UCCAGAGGUCUCAAGCGUUGUUCGGAUUCAUUGGGCGUAACGGGUGUGUAGGUGGCGCGCUAAGUCGGGUGUGAAAUUUCGGAGCUUAACUCCGAAACUGCAUUCGAUACUGGCGUGCUUGAGGACUGGAGAGGAGACUGGAAUUCAUGGUGUAGCAGUGAAAUGCGUAGAGAUCAUGAGGAAGACCAGUGGCGAAGGCGGGGCUCGGGACAGUUCCUGACACUGAGACACGAAGGCCAGGGGAGCAAACGGG
rnacentral:rRNA from 1 species